rnacentral:lncRNA from 1 species
CUUUUCCUGUUUCUUUCUUUCCCAUGCUGUUCUAUUUUGCUUUUUAAUCCGCAGUGUCUCCUUCAAGUCAAAACAUUUAGCUGGCUCUAAUCAAGCCUCGGUUUGGAAGAUGCCCCCUGACCCAGGGCUGCCCAGGGAACCCCUGAGAUGCCUGCUCUGCACCCUCCAGCUGGGUCUGCUGGAAAAAAAAAAUUGAGGGAGUUGGCUGUUUGUGCAAAGGUGACUGGUUGACUAAGAAGACCAGCGGUUUUUUUUAUCUGCAGAACAAAUAAAGCCUGGUCAAAGGUAACUGAAGCGAGUGUCUCCCACCUUG